AUCUCUGUAGCGCAAUGGAUAGCGUGUUGGAUUUCAAUUCCAAAGAUCGUGGGUUCGAAUCCCACCCGAGAUG
rnacentral:tRNA from 1 species